rnacentral:rRNA from 1 species
GACGAACGCUGGCGGCGUGCUUAACACAUGCAAGUCGUACGGUAAGGCCCUUUCGGGGGUACACGAGUGGCGAACGGGUGAGUAACACGUGAGUAACCUGCCCACAACUUUGGGAUAACGCUAGGAAACUGGUGCUAAUACUGGAUAUGUGCCCCUGCUGCAUGGUGGGGGUUGGAAAGCUCCGGCGGUUGUGGAUGGACUCGCGGCCUAUCAGCUUGUUGGUGGGGUAGUGGCCUACCAAGGCGGCGACGGGUAGCCGGCCUGAGAGGGUGACCGGCCAAGUGGGGGCGAAAAGAGGGCCCGGCCCCCUGGGGGAGGCAGGGGGGGGGAAGAUGGAACAAGGGGCGCAAGCCUGAGGCAGCACCGCCGGGGGGGGGAUGAGGGCUUUGGGGUUGUAACCCGUUUUCAGCGGGGACGAAGUUUUUGGGGGCGGUCCCUGAAAAAGAAGCCCGGGUAAACUACGGC